AGUCCCGUGGUGUAGUGGCCAAUCAUGUGAGCUUCUGGGGCUCACGACGGAGGUUCGAAUCCUCCCGGGACUA
rnacentral:tRNA from 1 species